ACUUUAAACAGCUGCAAUAUUGACGAACACGUGCUUUAACGGUUGUAAGAUCACACUAUUUAAGGCGGUUUCCUGAUGACGCGAUUUAAAUACCGUACGAAUUAGGGGCAAUAACAUUAGUGAUCCUUAAACUAAAAUACAAGCGUGUGAGCAUAUAUAGAUUUUAAGCCAUGAAGGCCAUGGCGGGGCUCGUGCUGGUGAUUCUAGCGCUGACGUUGUGCCCGGAUGUGACUCAAAGCGACAGCAGUUUUUGUUGUGAGUACCGUGACUGUCCUCCCAACUGGGGGUGUGAACCAAAACAUUACGAAAACAAUGUGCUGACAGACGGCGGUUGCCAUUGUGUUAGACCGGUCAAAAAGACGCCAUCAGAAGAAAAAAUCGAAACGGUCAUAACAACGUCAUCAGAUGAAAAUGUCAAAACGGUCACAACGACAAUGUCUGAAGAAAAUGUCGAAACGGUAAAAACGACGCCAUCAGACGAAAAUGUCAAAACGGUAAAAACGACGCCAUCAGACGAAAAUGUCAAAACGGUCGAAACAACUACAGCCGAUACACAUGUAGAAACGGUCAAAGCAACACCAUCGGAUGAAAAUGUCAAAAUAAUCCAAAUAACGCCAUCAGAUGGAAAUGACAACUCUGUCGAAACGACGCAAUCAGAUGAAAAUGUCAAAACGGUCGAUACGACGCCAGUGAAUGAAAAUGUCAAAACGACGCCAUCAGAUGAAAAUGUCACAACGAUCUAGAAGACGCCAUGAGAAGAAAAUGUUAAAACGAUCAAAAAGACGCCAUCAGAUACACAUAUUCAAACCGGUUUAAACGACGGGGUUAGGUUUGAAUGGGGAUGGGUGCAAUAACGUCAAAGAAAAAAUGAAGUCCGAUGUACUUUCGAAAUAAAUUGUAUGAGCAUCUUA